AACUUACAAAUCACAUGAUGAGUUCCUAGCAUAACAAACUACCUACCACAGCCAUACUUGUUAUAACAUCUUUUAUUCACAUUGAGUUUGAUCGAGCUGUGUAGACCCUUAGGAGCUUUUCAUGUGGUUAAAUUAAGAUAUUCACUUGCACACAUCUACCACAGCAUUUAUCACCAAUCAUUAAAAUUGCUAAAAAUAUUUUCACUCACUGUCUCGAAUAUUGUUAUUCUCUCUCUCUAAAAAAAGAAGAUUCAAUGCAGAAGAGGCAUGGGUUAUGCAAAAAUAUGCGAGGAAAUAAAAAGGGGCAAGUCCCCGGAACCUCAAAAAAGAAAGAAAAAGAGCGAGACGAGAGGUAAAAAUGGACAAGUGUCCGAAGUAGAAUUAGGGGUACAAAGAUGCCCACUUGAGCGGAAAAAAUGGACAAGUGUCCGACAGUAGAAUUAGGGGUAUCCACUACCCACCUGAAAAAAGAGAGAGAGAAAAAAAAGAUAGCCCAUGUUCUCCCAAAGCAAAGAUCAAAGAAGAGGAGAGAUAGCAAUAUAAGGAGCAAUGAGAACUAAGUUUUAUUAACACUUAUGCAUUUUCACCAUCACUAUCAUUUACUCCAUCACAC
rnacentral:lncRNA from 1 species